AACGCCUCCUUUUUGCCCACAAAAUACAAGGGCAACAGGACAAUCCCUUCAACAAUCUUGUAGCAGCAUACAGCAUGCUGAAUGUAGCAGCAUAGGAGUAUAUCCAUAUCUCCCUAUGCAGCGUGUACCGUUAAACAGACCUCACUGCUGGCCAAUCAUUGUGUAGGUGGAGAGUAUUUAAGCAGCGCUCCUCUCACUGCUUCUUCCGUUGCACUUCCGUCUGUGUACUUCCGGGUCAAGUGUUCGACUGAGACAGAGUGAUCGGUGUGCUGCUAGGGCAUACGUGUCUUUCGGCGUCCUAUUGUGGUGAGACACCCGUAGCCGCCUGGGUUUACUCCCUCCCUCGCUCCUCUCAUGUGCCUGUGUGUCUGCUUAGAAGGUGUAAUCUGCCUGAAUGCCAGCUAACACUGCCGCCGCAUGUGAUGUCAUCGCCAGCCGUCUGAGAACGCCGCUGCUUCGUCUGCGCUGUCGCUGCUUGCCUUGACUGACUGCUCUCCCGCUGCUGUGCUACGGCUUGCUACUGGCCUGUUCUGCUACUGCUCGGUCUUGUGGCUUCACCUAGCUGGGAGCUUAGCGCUGGUAGCCUCUGUCUGCGCUCUGGACUGCUCUGCCUGCUGUGAUCAGCCCGCGGGCGGGACUGUGACUGACUUGCCAGGCCGCUCGGCCUCUCCUGACAGACAGACACUAGUUGCUGAGGAUCGGUGGUGGUGCUGGUGGUCUGGGUGGCGGUAUCCCCUCCUUCUGUGUGCGGUGCUCCUCUGGGAUUUGGUUUUCUUUGCACAUCCCUGUGUGUGCCACGUGUGACUGGGUGCUUUUUGGGUUGUUUUGGGUAGAUCCCUCCCCCCUUCACUAGCCCAUUGUCCACCUGGUAAGCCUCAGCACCUGAUUAGGUUUCCCUCUUGCCCUUCUUGUGUGUGUGGUAUUUUAAA